AGAGUUUGAUCCUGGCUCAGGAUGAACGCUGGCGGCGUGCCUAACACAUGCAAGUCGAGCGAUCUUCUUCGGAAGAGAGCGGCGGACGGGUGAGUAACGCGUGGGUAACCUGCCUCAUACACAUGGAUAACAUACCGAAAGGUAUGCUAAUACAAGAUGAUAUAAGAGAUUCGCAUGGAUUUCUUAUCAAAGCUCCGGCGGUAUGAGAUGGACCCGCGUCUGAUUAGCUAGUUGGUAAGGUAAUGGCUUACCAAGGCGACGAUCAGUAGCCGACCUGAGAGGGUGAUCGGCCACAUUGGAACUGAGACACGGUCCAAACUCCUACGGGAGGCAGCAGUGGGGAAUAUUGCACAAUGGGCGAAAGCCUGAUGCAGCAACGCCGCGUGAGCGAUGAAGGCCUUCGGGUCGUAAAGCUCUGUCCUCAAGGAAGAUAAUGACGGUACCUGACUAAGAAGCCCCGGCUAACUACGUGCCAGCAGCCGCGGUAAUACGUAGGGGGCAAGCGUUGUCCGGAAUAAUUGGGCGUAAAGGGCGCGUAGGCGGCUCGGUAAGUCUGGAGUGAAAGUCCUGCUUUUAAGGUGGGAAUUGCUUUGGAUACUGUCGGGCUUGAGUGCAGGAGAGGUUAGUGGAAUUCCCAGUGUAGCGGUGAAAUGCGUAGAGAUUGGGAGGAACACCAGUGGCGAAGGCGACUAACUGGACUGUAACUGACGCUGAGGCGCGAAAGUGUGGGGAGCAAACAGGAUUAGAUACCCUGGUAGUCCACACUGUAAACGAUGAUUACUAGGUGUGGGGGGUCUAACCCCCUCCGUGCCGGAGUUAACACAAUAAGUAAUCCACCUGGGGAGUACGACCGCAAGGUUGAAACUCAAAGGAAUUGACGGGGGCCCGCACAAGCAGUGGAGUAUGUGGUUUAAUUCGACGCAACGCGAAGAACCUUACCAGGUCUUGACAUCCAACUAACGAAGCAGAGAUGCAUUAGGUGCCCUUCGGGGAAAGUUGAGACAGGUGGUGCAUGGUUGUCGUCAGCUCGUGUCGUGAGAUGUUGGGUUAAGUCCCGCAACGAGCGCAACCCUUGUGAUUAGUUGCCAGCAUUAAGUUGGGCACUCUAGAGGGACUGCCAGGGACAACCUGGAGGAAGGUGGGGAUGACGUCAAAUCAUCAUGCCCCUUAUGACUUGGGCUACACACGUGCUACAAUGGCGUAAACAAAGGGAAGCAAAGCUGUGAAGCCGAGCAAAUCUCAAAAAUAACGUCUCAGUUCGGACUGUAGUCUGCAACCCGACUACACGAAGCUGGAAUCGCUAGUAAUCGCAGAUCAGAAUGCUGCGGUGAAUACGUUCCCGGGUCUUGCACACACCGCCCGUCA
rnacentral:rRNA from 1 species